GACGAACGCUGGCGGCGUGCCUAAUACAUGCAAGUUGAGCGCUGAAGGUUGGUACUUGUACCGACUGGAUGAGCAGCGAACGGGUGAGUAACGCGUGGGGAAUCUGCCUUUGAGCGGGGGACAACAUUUGGAAACGAAUGCUAAUACCGCAUAAAAACUUUAAACACAAGUUUUAAGUUUGAAAGAUGCAAUUGCAUCACUCAAAGAUGAUCCCGCGUUGUAUUAGCUAGUUGGUGAGGUAAAGGCUCACCAAGGCGAUGAUACAUAGCCGACCUGAGAGGGUGAUCGGCCACAUUGGGACUGAGACACGGCCCAAACUCCUACGGGAAGCAGCAGUAGGGAAUCUUCGGCAAUGGACGAAAGUCUGACCGAGCAACGCCGCGUGAGUGAAGAAGGUUUUCGGAUCGUAAAACUCUGUUGGUAGAGGAGAACGUUGGUGAGAGUGGAAAGCUCAUCAAGUGACGGUAACUACCCAGAAAGGGACGGCUAACUACGUGCCAGCAGCCGCGGUAAUACGUAUGUCCCGAGCGUUGUCCGGAUUUAUUGGGCGUAAAGCGAGCGCAGGUGGUUUAUUAAGUCUGGUGUAAAAGGCAGUGACUCAACCAUUGUAUGCAUUGGAAACUGGUAGACUUGAGUGCAGGAGAGGAGAGUGGAAUUC
rnacentral:rRNA from 1 species